rnacentral:rRNA from 1 species
CCUACGGGGGGCAGCAGUGAGGAAUAUUGGUCAAUGGACGCGAGUCUGAACCAGCCAUGCCGCGUGCAGGAAGACGGCCCUAUGAGUUGUAAACUGCUUUUGUACGGGGAUAAAGUGCGACACGUGUGCCUUUUUGUAUGUACCUUAUGAAUAAGGAUCGGCUAACUCCGUGCCAGCAGCCGCGGUAAUACGGAGGAUCCAAGCGUUAUCCGGAUUUAUUGGGUUUAAAGGGUGCGUAGAUGGGUGGUUAAGUCAGUUGUGAAAUCUUGCGGCUCAACCGUGAAAUUGCCUUUGAUACUGGCAGGCUAGAGUACAGUUGAGGUAGGCGGAAUUCGUGGUGUAGCGGUGAAAUGCUUAGAUAUCACGAAGAACUCCGAUUGCGAAGGCAGCAUACUAAACUGCAACUGACAUUGAUGCUCGAAAGUGUGGGUAUCAAACAGGAUUAGAUACCCCUGUAGUC